CAAUGCCUCUCUACUCUCCUUAUUGCAGAACCCUAGCCCAUCGCUUCACCAAAAUCAUCUUCUAAUCCUGUUUCUAAUGGGAUUUUCUUCCCAAUUACUUACCACUUCGAUAUGUUUCCAUUAUUGGGUGAUUCUCUACGGUAUUACCUAAUACUUUCCUAAACAUGGAAAGUACUCAUACUCUGGUUCUAUCCUAUUUGACUUUCAUCUCUUGAAUCUAGACGAUAUUGAGUCUACACAUGCUUAUUUUGCACCGUGUGAGUCCGAUUUGUUCGUAUCUUGUUGAUUCAUACUUAACCUUAAGGUUAGGGUUUACGAAUCUUCUUUUAUUUGAAUAAAAACUAAUUCGAGCUUUGAUUUUGAGUAUUAUCUCGCCAUUAUUCACCUUAUUAAGCGUAAAUCUAUCUGUUUGAG
rnacentral:lncRNA from 1 species